UACGUAGGCAGCGAGCGUUGUUCGGAGUUAUUGGGCGUAAAGAGCUCGUAGGCGGUUCGGUAAGUCAGGUGUGAAACCUCCAGGCUCAACCUGGAGACGCCACCUGAUACUGCUGUGACUCGAGUCCGGUAGGGGAGCGUGGAAUUCCUGGUGUAGCGGUGAAAUGCGCAGAUAUCAGGAGGAACACCAGCGGCGAAGGCGGCGCUCUGGGCCGGAACUGACGCUGAGGAGCGAAAGCGUGGGUAGCAAACAGG
rnacentral:rRNA from 1 species